rnacentral:tRNA from 1 species
GGGGUUGUGGCUCAGUGGUAGAGCACUCACCUAGCAUGUGCAAGGACCUGGGUUCAAUCCUCAGCACCACA